rnacentral:rRNA from 1 species
UGGGUAUCGACACCGAGAGGUGGAGGCAAAUCUCCUAAACCUGUCCUUAGUUCGGAUUGUGGGCUGCAACUCGCCCACAUGAAGCUGGAAUCCGUAGUAAUCGCGUUUCAAAAUAGCGCGGUGAAUAUGUCCCUCGGCUCCUU